AUUGAACGCUGGCGGCAGGCCUAACACAUGCAAGUCGAGCGGAAACGAAGGGAGCUUGCUCCCAGGCGUCGAGCGGCGGACGGGUGAGUAACACGUGAGAAUCUGCCCAUUAGUGGGGGACAACUCGGGGAAACUCGAGCUAAUACCGCAUAAUCCCUACGGGGGAAAGCAGGGGACCUUUUGGCCUUGCGCUGAUGGAUGAGCUCACGUCGGAUUAGCUUGUUGGUGAGGUAAAGGCUCACCAAGGCGACGAUCCGUAGCUGGUCUGAGAGGAUGAUCAGCCACACUGGGACUGAGACACGGCCCAGACUCCUACGGGAGGCAGCAGUGGGGAAUCUUGGACAAUGGGGGCAACCCUGAUCCAGCCAUGCCGCGUGUGUGAAGAAGGCCUUCGGGUUGUAAAGCACUUUCAGCAGGGAGGAAGGCUUUGGUCGAAUAGGCUGAAGUACUUGACGUUACCUGCAGAAGAAGCACCGGCUAAUUUCGUGCCAGCCGCCGCCGUAACAC
rnacentral:rRNA from 1 species